AGUGCGCGUUGUUUCCCAGGCUUGAAGCGCUUCUGUACCCUACUACUGUCGAUCCAGUGCACAGCGGGCAAACACUUAUAACAAACCCAUCAAAGUACGAGAAGCAAAGACUUGGUUUACUGGUAGUAAAGUUUUUCAAAUAUAAAUAUUGACCGGUAUGGAACAACAAGUUUGACGAUUUUAUUAUUAAAAAAGGUGAUUUUGAAGGAGGUCAUGCUCCAGUUUUGAACACUAUUUAAGCUGUAUCUGUUAACGUUCAACAACUGUUGAGUUGUAAUGCUAGUCUUACUCAGUCUAACUUCAAGACAGUACAUACAGAUUCAGUAGAUACAGCUCCAGGGACAACUACAUAUAAAGCAAAACUUUUGGAACAGUUUCGUAACUGAUACUAAUAUUGUUAUGUAUACGUGAAUGAAAGUCUAGUCUUGGUAUGGGUGCUCACCACCUCCGGAUAUUAGAUUACGUGGUAAACAACUCCACGCGAAUGACUUUCAACUGAGACGUAGGUAUACUUCAGCCAUCCACCUCGUACCGGUAACGCACGCCUUAACAGCAUGCCAGGUCUGGUUUUUUUUUAUCGCAAAAUGGACCAUGCCCCCACAAGCUAGACUGUCUAGCAAGACUGUUGGCAAUUCAGAGAAGUCACAGAUAUAUAACAUAACCAGUCAUCGAAACAUACAAAGAUAGUAGUACUAAAUAAAAUGACUCUUUAAAGGAUAUUUUGUAAUAAACAAACAUUAAGCAGACAACACUGUCAGACUACAAAGUCGGCUGAAUUUCAUUCAGUAGGUAAGGGUGUGUUAAAUCAGCUUGAAUUUUAUCAACCCUCGUCCCACACCGGGAGCUGGGUGUAGCAAGACAAUGCAAACCAAAAAAACAGAAAUAAAAUAAAGAUGGGACAACGGCGAACGGGGGAGUAUAUUUGUGUGGGUGAGCUUAAAUAAUCGGCCGGUAGUGGGUGAAUAUAGAAGCUUUUAGCUUCGAACUGAACCGGCAGCCGUUGGCGAAAAAACCCAAUGAAGCUUCUCUGCACUGCCUUCUUCGCCCACCUUGACGUUCCCCGACACCGUUGGCUUCAGUCUUCGCGAGACAAUUUCAUUCAUGAAUCCGGAGCACCACAACCAUACAUACGGUGUGUUGGUGGUGGUGGUGGUGGUGGUGGUCGUCGUCGUAUGCGCCCUUUCUAUUUCCCUCGCCCAUUCAUUAGAUAGCGCACCGCAGCACACAGAUGCAAAAGCCAUCGAUCCAUUCACAAUCUCUCGCUUGCACAGCACAGUGUCAAUAGCACCAGAGCUGCUACCCCACGUACUUUUGCCCAUGCUGAGCUCGUCAAACCAUGCGAUACGGUCUUUAAGGGGCCAACCGGCAAAAAAAGGCACGGUAGUCAUGCGUUCCUGGCAUCCCACGGACGGACACACUAGCGGACUGUGGUGGCUGAGGCGGCGAUCAUGCAACCACCAGGUACGGUAUACGUCGACGGCAUGCCUCUUUUCAACUAGCCUGCACAGUGAAACCAAAUUGCCUCGGACGAAAAUCGCAAAACCUGUAAUAAUGAUGGCCGAAUUCAGAUUGGAAUCAGAGUUACGUAACGCGUCCGGUUGAACACAACAGGUCUUUCCGAACGUGCAGCACGAUUUUGUGCAGCGGUACAAUGACAAUUGAAAUAUGACAAGCAUAUAAUGGUAAGAAGCAUAUAAACUAUCUCAAUUCCACUCCUGCUAACAACGGCAACGAAACUAUUAAAUCGUCUCAUCUUCCCUGAACGCAUGCGCAACCAUAAAUGAGCUGCGGCUGGAAUUCAAA